UACGGGGGGUGCGAGCGUUGUCCGGAAUCACUGGGCGUAAAGGGCGCGUAGGUGGUUUGAUAAGGGUGUGGUGAAAGUCCGGAGCUCAACUCCGGAUCUGCCGUGCCGACUGUCAAACUCGAGGGCUGUAGAGGCAGACGGAAUUCCGGGUGUAGCGGUGGAAUGCGUAGAGAUCCGGAGGAAGACCGGUGGCGAAGGCGGUCUGCUGGGCAGUUUCUGACACUGAGGCGCGACAGCGUGAGGAGCAAACAGG
rnacentral:rRNA from 1 species